CGAACUACAUUCAGCCUGGGCACUCGGUUACAGUCCCCUCUGUUUCAAACUGCAGGUUUUCACUAACAGUGCCAGCUAUAGUCAAAUGAUCUCAGUUCGCAGAAUAACACGAACCGUUCUUUUCUUCUUCUGUUUCUUCUUUCUCUCUCUUUCUCUUUGUUCUCUGUAUUCACUGAUUAGCGUGUCAAGUCAAUCAAUCAGUCAAUAAAAUCGCGAUUCGGACAAGUGUAGGAAAAGAAUCCUUUGCCGUUUUCUCUCCGUUGGUGCUGCCUGCGUGGCUGCUCGCCCGUUAUUUAUUUAUUUAUUUUCCCAUUCAGACAUUUCAGCACCAUCAGGAAGAGACAGCGACCGUUUUGCUCCGAGAGCCUGAAAAAAUGUAGUUUGCAUUUCAACGGGAUUAUUUACAGAUUUACCCUGAGGAAUUAAUGCAACAACAGGAAUCAGGAAACCCGUCAACUUGCGUCUUAUUUCGAAUAUAUGAAGUGAAAACAUUUUCUCGUGUUUCUCCGCCUAUAUUUUUGUUUCUUUCUAUCUCUUCUUAUUACUGUGCAUAAGACACUUGCUGCGACUCUUGCGUUGGGGGAAAAAAGGAGGAAAAUGGGUACCCAGUCCCGGAGCGAUUUACUAGCGAGUGUGCAAGACCUGUAAUCUAAAGGGAUAUAGUACUGGAUAGCUGAAGAUUGAAGGAAUACAGGAAGAAAUACAUAAAUACAGGUUUCUAAAAAUAUACCACCACCUGUUAACAACAAACCUCAGCUGGGUUGAUUUGAAACAAACAACUGGACGAUCAGCAUCAUGAGCAAGAAGGACGUUUUCCUCAAGGAUAACUUGGCCAGUUUGGAAUAACUGAAUGGAAACACAUCACCCACUCAAUCAUCCAAUAUUUGAUCUUCAAGGAGACAAGACAAAAGCCCAAAUUAUAACAGCAGGCAUGAUGAAUCUACUUUAAGG